AACCACAGCCAUAUCACCCGGCAGCCCAAGACUGGUUACUCACCGAAGCUAAGCAGGGCUUAGCCUGGUCAGAAUCUAGAUGGGAGACCACAAGGGAAAGUUAGGUUGCUGUUGGAA
ensembl:rRNA 5S_rRNA 5S ribosomal RNA